rnacentral:rRNA from 1 species
GCUCAGAUUGAACGCUGGCGGCAUGCCUAACACAUGCAAGUCGAACGGUAACAGAUAAGAUGAUCUUUUCGGAGUGAAUCUUUGCUGACGAGUGGCGGACGGGUGAGUAAUGCUUGGGAAUCUGCCCAAUAGUGGGGGAAAACUCGGGGAAACCCGGGCUAAUACCGCAUAAUCUCUACGGAGGAAAGAGGGCCUCUACGUGUAAGCUCUCGCUAAUGGAUGAGCCCAAGUCAGAUUAGCUUGUUGGUAAGGUAAUGGCUUACCAAGGCUACGAUCUGUAGCUGGUCUGAGAGGAUGAUCAGCCACACUGGGACUGAGACACGGCCCAGACUCCUACGGGAGGCAGCAGUGGGGAAUAUUGCACAAUGGGCGCAAGCCUGAUGCAGCAAUGCCGCGUGUGUGAAGAAGGCUCUAGGGUUGUAAAGCACUUUCAAUAGAGAAGAAAAGCUUGAAGUUAAUAUCUUCAAGCCUUGACGUAACCUAUACAAGAAGCACCGGCUAAUUCCGUGCCAGCAGCCGCGGUAAUACGGAAGGUGCGAGCGUUAAUCGGAAUUACUGGGCGUAAAGCGAGCGUAGGCUGUUAAUUAAGUCGAAUGUGAAAUCCCCGGGCUCAACCUGGGAACUGCAUUCGAAACUAUUUGACUAGAGUAUGGGAGAGGAAAGUAGAAUUUCCGGUGUAGCGGUGAAAUGCGUAGAUAUCGGAAGGAAUACCAGUGGCGAAGGCGGCUUUCUGGAACAAUACUGACGCUGAGGUUCGAAAGCGUGGGGAGCAAACAGGAUUAGAUACCCUGGUAGUCCACGCCGUAAACGAUGAGAACUAGAUGUUGGAAGGAUUGGCCUUUCAGUGUCGCAGCUAACGCAAUAAGUUCUCCGCCUGGGGAGUACGACCGCAAGGUUGAAACUCNA